rnacentral:rRNA from 1 species
UACGGGGGGGGUAAGCGUUGUUCGGAAUUACUGGGCGUAAAGGGCGCGUAGGCGGCCUGCUAAGUCGAACGUGAAAUCCCUGAGCUCAACUCCAGAACUGCCUUCGAUACUGGAAAGCUCGAGUCCGGGAGAGGUGAGUGGAACUGCGAGUGUAGAGGUGAAAUUCGUAGAUAUUCGCAAGAACACCAGUGGCGAAGGCGGCUCACUGGCCCGGUACUGACGCUGAGGUGCGAAAGCGUGGGGAGCAAACAGG